AGGACGAACGCUGGCGGCGUGCUUAACACAUGCAAGUGGAGCGACGAAGCCGACUUCGGUCGGUGGCAGAGCCGCGAACGGGUGAGUAACACGUGGGUAACGUGCCCCAAUCACUGGGACAACCCGGGGAAACCCGGGCUAAUACCGGAUGUGGUCCUCUCACAUCAGUGAGUUGACUAAAGGUAGCUUCGGCUUCCGGAUUGGGAUCGGCCCGCGGCGCAUUAGCUUGUUGGUGGGGUUAAAGGCCUACCAAGGCGACGAUGCGUAGCUGGUCUGAGAGGACGAUCAGCCACACUGGGACUGAGACACGGCCAGACUCCUACGGGAGCAGCAGUGGGGAAUCUUGCGCAAUGCGCGAAAGCGUGACGCAGCAACGCGCGUGGGGGAACGGGGC
rnacentral:rRNA from 1 species